rnacentral:rRNA from 1 species
UACGUAGGGCGCAAGCGUUGUCCGGAAUUAUUGGGCGUAAAGAGCUCGUAGGCGGUCUGUCGCGUCGGCUGUGAAAACCCGAGGCUCAACCUCGGGCCUGCAGUCGAUACGGGCAGACUAGAGUGCUGUAGGGGAGACUGGAAUUCCUGGUGUAGCGGUGAAAUGCGCAGAUAUCAGGAGGAACACCGGUGGCGAAGGCGGGGUCUCUGGGCAGUAACUGACGCUGGAGGAGCGAAAGCGUGGGGAGCAAACAGG